ensembl:lncRNA
UGUCUGCUUAUGGUUAGUAUUAGUUACUCAGAGAGAAUCAUCAUCUAGAUGAAACUCACUUUUCCUCACGAGGUUGGAAAUACCAUCCGUACUCCACUCCCAACUCUACCUAUAUAGGAAGGCAAUAAACCUUUGAGGKCGUGCUCUCAGACUAGGAUUGCAUAUGCAGUGGGAAUGCAAUGGCCUUCUAGCUAGUGUGGGGCGAGAACACACAACUGCAGAAAUGACCGUGUCUCUUUUGUAAACAUAAACAGAAGCGAAUUGGUCACAUCAUGGAGGAAUACAACGAUGCAGCUGGGAGGUCUGCUAGGCUUUCAGCUGCAAGGGAGAAGUUCCUGAUAGGAAAGAAAAAUCCGGUGAAUGUAGUGACCCAGGAAGAUCUGAUGAUUUACACCCAGUGGCUAGUGUGUCACUUGUACUCUGUGAAGGGCAUUCACCAUUUCCUCCAGGUUGUCCAGCAUUUGCCCAUUUCUCGUAAAAUGAAUCUGGCUACGGAGAAAUGUCCUGAUGUGGUUCAAGACAACUGGCACAUAUUAAGUGCUCUUGACAAGAAUUCAGAUAUUUUUAACAUUAAUGUCUGUCUCUGCUCCAGAGUUUUAAAAAGAAAUGGUGAGAAAUGAUCAACUUUCUUUCAAAACCGCAAGUGAUGUAUAUUCUUUGAGAAUGGUUAACAGUGCAAAUUUGGGAAGUACUGAAUGCCAUCCU